CCUACGGGUGGCAGCAGUGGGGAAUAUUGGACAAUGGGGGUAACCCUGAUCCAGCAACGCCGCGUGAGGGAUGACGGCCUUCGGGUUGUAAACCUCUUUCAUCAUCGACGAAGCUGCUCUUUUUGGGGUGGUGACGGUAGGUGGAGAAGAAGCACCGGCCAACUACGUGCCAGCAGCCGCGGUAAUACGUAGGGUGCGAGCGUUGUCCGGAAUUAUUGGGCGUAAAGGGCUCGUAGGCGGUUUGUCGCGUCGGGAGUGAAAACACCGUGCUUAAC
rnacentral:rRNA from 1 species